rnacentral:tRNA from 1 species
GCCGGGGUUGCCUAGUUUGGUUAGGGCGCCAGACUCAUAAUCUGGAGGUCGCGGGUUCGAAUCCCGCCCCCGGCACCA